CACAUGCAAGUCGAGGGGCAGCGAGAUCAGUGCUUGCACUGAUUGUCGGCGACCGGCGCACGGGUGCGUAACGCGUAUGCAACCUACCCAUUACAGGGGGAUAACACUGAGAUAUCGGUACUAAUACCCCAUAACAUCCAGGGAGGCAUCUUCUUGGGUUGAAAACUCCGGUGGUCAUGGAUGGGUAUGCGUUGUAUUAGUUAGUUGGUGGGGUAACGGCUCACCAAGACAACAAUACAUAGGGGGACUGAGAGGUUAACCCUCCACAUUGGUACUGAGACACCGACCAAACUCUUACGGGAGGCAGCAGUGAGGAAUAUUGGUCAAUGGACGCAAGUCUGAACCAGCCAUGCCGGCGUGCAGGAAGACGGCUCUAUGAGUUGUAAACUGCUUUUGUACGAGGGUAAACGCAGAUACGUGUAUCUGUCUGAAAGUAUCGUACGAAUAAGGAUUGGCUAACUCCGUGCCAGCAGCCGCGGUAAUACGGAGGAUUCAAGCGUUAUCCGGAUUUAUUGGGUUUAAAGGGUGCGUAGGCGGUCGGAUAAGUUAGAGGUGAAAUCCCGGGGCUCAACUUCGGAAUUGCCUCUGAUACUGUUCGGCUAGAGAGUAGUUGCGGUAGGCGGAAUGUAUGGUGUAGCGGUGAAAUGCUUAGAGAUCAUACAGAACACCGAUUGCGAAGGCAGCUUACCAAGCUAAUUCUGACGUUGAGGCACGAAAGCGUGGGGAGCAAACAGGAUUAGAUACCCUGGUAGUCCACGCAGUAAACGAUGAUAACUCGUUGUCGGCGAAUACAGUGUUCGGUGACUAAGCGAAAGCGAUAAGUUAUCCACCUGGGGAGUGCGUUCGCAAGAAUGAAACUCAAAGGAAUUGACGGGGGCCCGCACAAGCGGAGGAACAUGUGGUUUAAUUCGAUGAUACGCGAGGAACCUUACCCGGGCUUGAAAGUUAGUGACGGAUCUUGAAAGAGGUCUUCCCUUCGGGGCACGAAACUAGGUGCUGCAUGGUUGUCGUCAGCUCGUGCCGUGAGGUGUCGGGUUAAGUCCCAUAACGAGCGCAACCCCUACCGUUAGUUGCCAGCAGGUCAAGCUGGGCACUCUGACGGGACUGCCGGUGUAAGCCGAGAGGAAGGUGGGGAUGACGUCAAAUCAGCACGGCCCUUACGUCCGGGGCUACACACGUGUUACAAUGGCAGGUACAGAGGGCAGCUACCCAGCGAUGGGAUGCGAAUCUCGAAAGCCUGUCUCAGUUCGGAUUGGAGGCUGAAACCCGCCUCCAUGAAGUUGGAUUCGCUAGUAAUCGCGCAUCAGCCAUGGCGCGGUGAAUACGUUCCCGGGCCUUGCACACACCGCCCGUCA
rnacentral:rRNA from 1 species